AGGCGCGUAGCUCAGCGGGAGAGCGCUACCUUGACGCGGUAGAAGUCGGCGGUUCGAAACCGCCCGCGCCUACCA
rnacentral:tRNA from 2 species